UAAAACGACUCUCGGCAACGGAUAUCUAGGCUCUCGCAUCGAUGAAGAACGUAGCAAAAUGCGAUACUUGGUGUGAAUUGCAGAAUCCCGUGAACCAUCGAGUUUUUGAACGCAAGUUGCGCCCGAAGCCAUUAGGCCAAGGGCACGUCUGCCUGGGCGUCU
rnacentral:rRNA from 1 species